GCUGGGUGUGGUUGCCUGUGCCUGUAGUCCCAACUACUCAGGAGGCUGAGGUAGGAGGAUCACUUGAGCCCAGGAGGUCAAGGAUGCAGUGAGCCCUGAUUGUACCACUGCAUUCCAGUCUGGGCUCCAGAAUGAGACCCUGUCUCUU
rfam:Pan troglodytes isolate Yerkes chimp pedigree #C0471 (Clint) chromosome 16, whole genome shotgun sequence.